rnacentral:rRNA from 1 species
UUCUUCAUAAGGUGCUGAAGGAGUAAGGGAACAACCUCCAAUCUCUAGUUGGCAUAGUUUAUGGUUAAGACUACGACGGUAUCUGAUCGUCUUCGAUCCCCUAACUUUCGUUCUUGAUUAAUGAAAACAUCCUUGGCAAAUGCUUUCGCAUUAGUUUGUCUUUAACAAAUCUAAGAAUUUCACCUCUGACUGUUAAAUACAAAUGCCCCCAACUGUCCCUAUUAAUCAUUAUUCUUAUUGCAUAUCACAAAGCGGAGGAAAAGAAACCAACAGGGAUUGCCUUAGUAGCGGCGAGUGAAGCGGCAAAAGCUCAAAUUUGAAAUCUGGCACUUUCAGUGUCCGAGUUGUAAUUUGAAGAAGGUUUCUUUGAGUCUGGCUCUUGUCUAUGUUUCUUGGAUCAGAACGUCACAGAGGGUGAGAAUCCCAAAUGAUGAGAUGUCCCAGACAUAUGCAAAAUUCCUUAGAAGAGUUGAGUUGUUUGGAAAUGCAGCUCUAAGUGGGUGGUAAAUUCCAUCUAAAGCUAUAUAUUAAAGGAGACCGAUAGAGAUCAAUUCCAGUGAAAAAACGAAAAAUCGAACUUUGAAAAGAGAGUGCAAAAGUACGUGAAAUUGUGGAAAGGGAAGGGCUUGACAUCAGACUUGGUAUUGAUUAUGUUGCUCUUUCUCGGGUGGCCUCUACGGAAUACAACCCCAUCCACAGUUUGACCGUUAGGAUAAGUGCAAAGAAAUGUGGCACUGCUUCGGUAGUGUGUUGUCGUCUUUGUCGAUACUGCCUGCACAGAUUGAGGACCCGAAACGGCCAGGCAUGGUUCUGG